UAGGGAAUCUUCCACAAUGGACGCAAGUCUGAUGGAGCAACGCCGCGUGAGUGAAGAAGGUCUUCGGAUCGUAAAGCUCUGUUGUUGGUGAAGAAGGAUAGAGGCAGUAACUGGUCUUUAUUUGACGGUAAUCAACCAGAAAGUCACGGCUAACUACGUGCCAGCAGCCGCGGUAAUACGUAGGUGGCAAGCGUUGUCCGGAUUUAUUGGGCGUAAAGCGAGCGCAGGCGGAAUGAUAAGUCUGAUGUGAAAGCCCACGGCUCAACCGUGGAACUGCAUCGGAAACUGUCAUUCUUGAGUGCAGAAGAGGAGGGUGGAACUCCAUGUGUAGCGGUGGAAUGCGUAGAUAUAUGGAAGAACACCAGUGGCGAAGGCGGCUCUCUGGUCUGCAACUGACGCUGAGGCUCGAAAGCAUGGGUAGCGAACAGGAUUAGAUACCCUGGUAGUCCAUGCCGUAAACGAUGAGCGCUAGAUGUUGGGGACUUUGCCGGUUCUCAGUGCCGCAGCAAACGC
rnacentral:rRNA from 1 species